UACGUAGGGUGCGAGCGUUAAUCGGAAUUACUGGGCGUAAAGCGUGCGCAGGCGGUUUUGUAAGUCAGAUGUGAAAUCCCCGGGCUUAACCUGGGAACUGCGUUUGAAACUACAAGGCUAGAGUGUGGCAGAGGGGGGUGGAAUUCCACGUGUAGCAGUGAAAUGCGUAGAGAUGUGGAGGAACACCGAUGGCGAAGGCAGCCCCCUGGGUCGACACUGACGCUCAUGCACGAAAGCGUGGGGAGCAAACAGG
rnacentral:rRNA from 1 species